rnacentral:rRNA from 1 species
CCUGAGAGGGUGAUCGGCCACAUUGGGACUGCGACACGGCCCAGACUCCUACGGGACGCAGCAGUGGGGAAUAUUGCACAAUGGGGGAAACCCCUGUGAUGCAGCACGCCGCGUGAGUGAUGACGGCCUUCGGGUUGUAAAGCUCUGUCUUCAGGG